rnacentral:rRNA from 1 species
UCGGGAAUUUUGGGCAAUGGGCGAAAGCCUGACCCAGCAACGCCGCGUGAAGGAUGAAGUAUUUCGGUAUGUAAACUUCGAAAGAAUAGGAAGAAUAAAUGACGGUACUAUUUAUAAGGUCCGGCUAACUACGUGCCAGCAGCCGCGGUAAUACGUAGGGACCAAGCGUUGUUCGGAUUUACUGGGCGUAAAGGGCGCGUAGGCGGCAAUUCAAGUCACUUGUGAAAUCUCUGGGCUUAACCCAGAACGGCCAAGUGAUACUGUCGCGCUAGAGUGCAGAAGGGGCAAUCGGAAUUCUUGGUGUAGCGGUGAAAUGCGUAGAUAUCAAGAGGAACACCUGAGGUGAAGACGGGUUGCUGGGCUGACACUGACGCUGAGGCGCGAAAGCCAGGGGAGCAAACGGGAUUAGAUACCCAAGUAGUCCCUGAGCGGGCUGGCAAGGCGCAU